rnacentral:rRNA from 1 species
GAUGAACGCUGGCGGCGUGCUUAACACAUGCAAGUCGAACGGGAAACCUUUUAUUGCAGCUUCGGCAGAUUUAGCUGGUUUCUAGUGGCGGACGGGUGAGUAACGCGUGGGUAACCUGCCUUAUACAGGGGGAUAACAGUCAGAAAUGGCUGCUAAUACCGCAUAAGCGCACAGAGCUGCAUGGCUCAGUGUGAAAAACUCCGGUGGUAUAAGAUGGACCCGCGUUGGAUUAGCUGGUUGGUGGGGUAACGGCCCACCAAGGCGACGAUCCAUAGCCGGCCUGAGAGGGUGAACGGCCACAUUGGGACUGAGACACGGCCCAGACUCCUACGGGAGGCAGCAGUGGGGAAUAUUGCACAAUGGGGGAACCCUGAUGCAGCGACGCCGCGUGAAGGAAGAAGUAUCUCGGUAUGUAAACUUCUAUCAGCAGGGAAGAUAAUGACGGUACCUGACUAAGAAGCCCCGGCUAACUACGUG